GACAGAGGGUGCGAACGUUGUUCGGAAUUACUGGGCGUAAAGCGCGUGUAGGCGGCAACGCAAGUCGGGCGUGAAAUCCCACGGCUCAACCCGUGGAAGUGCACUCGAAACUGCGUAGCUAGAGUCCUGGAGAGGAAGGUGGAAUGACUUGGUGUAGAGGUGAAUUCGUAGAUAUCAAAGCGGAACACCGGUGGCGAAGGCGGCCCUUCUGGGAC
rnacentral:rRNA from 1 species